UAAUACGGAGGGUGCAAGCGUUAUCCGGAAUCACUGGGUUUAAAGGGUGCGUAGGCGGGGGAUUAAGUCAGUGGUGAAAGCCUGUAGCUUAACUACAGAAUUGCCAUUGAUACUGAUUUUCUUGAAUUGGGUUGAGGUUAGCGGAAUGUGACAUGUAACGGUGAAAUGUUUAGAUAUGUCAUGGAACACCGAUUGCGAAGGCAGCUAGCUGGGCCUUGAUUGACGCUGAGGCACGAAAGCGUGGGUAGCGAACAGG
rnacentral:rRNA from 1 species